AGUGACGAGGAAUCCUGAUUGGGCGCUCGCUUCAAGUAAUCCAGGAUAGGCUGUAAUGUCUCCUGUCAGCCUUUUCUCGAUUACUUGGGACCAGAGCCAAUCUUUUUCAACGAAGGAACGC
rnacentral:pre_miRNA from 14 species